rnacentral:piRNA from 1 species
UACUUCGAGAGGAUUGUUGUGGGCAAC